AUAAUAAACUAAAUAUGCUGCGAGUGGAUGGAUUGGCCAAAUACACGAGGCGCUAAACUGCGAAAAAAACGAAUGGCAUCCGCGACAUAUUCGUUUGUACCUCCUCGGCUGAAAAGCCUAUAUUUUUAAAAUACUCAAGGAACUGAAACAUCUUAUUACUUGAAGGAAAAGAAAUCAAUCGAGAUUGCGUGUGUAGCAGCGAGUGAAAGCGCAAAAGCCAUUUUAAACCUUUUCAAUUUGAAACGUUUGGAAACACGUACUGCAAAAGGUGAAAGUCCUGUAAAAUUGAAGAGAAAAAAAUAUCAUUAUCGGCGUUUUUUGUCGAAAUAUAGGGGAACCUCCCCCAAGGCUAAAUAAUCUAUUUGGACCGAUAGUUAACAAGUACCGUGAGGGAAAGCUGAAAAGCAAUAGUGACAAUCUAUCUAAUGAAACAGAACCUAAAACUCGUAGCAAUUUUGACACUGUGUUAAGCAAAGUUUAAUAAAGUGGUGCCUUUUGAAUCAUGCGCUGAUGACUUUGUGUUUUUUUGAUGUUUAACUUGUUAAAGGUAAGCACUAGAACUAGAACGAAAAUUCAAAAAACACAAAACGCGAAGCGAAGAGAGCUUUUUUAAGCCAAGAUGAAGAGCCGCGAAAGGGGUUUGGAGGUCUGAAGCAGUUCACGUUGCAACGUGUUUGUAUGAGCUUAGAAAAGAAGCGAAAUACUAAUCGCUCUUCGCAAUAUCUCGUUUCUUGCGAAACCUGUUUAGGCAGGGCGCUAUUUGAUAACUAAGGCUAGAGAUGUAAAGCACUGUAAAACUAAGGGGGAAGAAGUUCUUACUGCCGUUUUGCAAACUCUGAAUUCUAAGCCCUAAAAAUAGCAGUCAGUCGGUACGGGACAAGCUGUAUACGACAAAAGGGAAACAGCCCAGACUAUAGAAUAAGGCCUGAAAGAGUAAACUAAGUGAGAAAGGAAAAGUGUGCACAAUGAAGCGUUGGACGUUUGAUUAGCAGCAUCUACCGUUUAAAGAAAGCGUAAUAGCUCACAAUGUGAGUGCACAUGCCCCGAUAAUUUAACCAGACUAAGUUUACCGCCCAUUUCAUAGCAUGCCAAAGUUGAAAUAGUUUUUGUUGAAGUUUUACUCACUUUAAAUUUCAGCUAGCAUGGGUAGCAAGACGAACCAUAUGUCGGAGAAGUUUUGUCGGUAAGACUAAAAAAGAUAUUGGUUGUGAUUAUAUCAGCUAUAGUAACUAUAAAUUGAGCAAUAAAAUCUCAAUGAUCGAAAGUCCAAGGUUUCUUAGACAACUGUCAUAGAUCUAAGGUUAAAUCGGCCCCUAAAUUGUAUAAAGACAAUGAUGGGACAAAGUUUGAAAAAAUAUGUGACUUGUAACUAUAACAAUGCUUAAUUUGUGUUUUUAGUAAUCUCUAGAAUACUUUAAAAUUGUAAAAUAUUUUAAAAUAUUUUUGUAGAAGAUAAAAGGACAAAAGCAGAUUAUAGCACUGCUGGAAAAAACACUUCAAAAGAAAAUUUGAAAAGCCAAAAUAAAUUUCAAAUGUUUUUCAAACUUUACAACCGUACUUAAACUGACGCCGGUGGACAAGUAUAUUUUACUCAGAUUUAAGUCGAACUCGCCCGUAAGGAACUCGGCAAAAUGCACUCGUACUUUAGAAAGAAGAGUGGCAACCUUGGUAAUAAAGGGAGCCUCAGAAAAUAGAGGAGGGCGACUGUUUACUCAAAACACAGGGUUCUGCUAACUUGCAAUAGAACGUAUAGAAUCUGACGUUUGUCAAGAGCCACCAACUUAAGCUAGGUGAUGAUAAAUCAUUUGGUGAAGGCGUGGUUAUCGACCGCCGUAACUAUAACGGUGUUAACAGUAGCGAAAUUCCUAGGCAUUUAAUUGGUGUCCUGCACGAAUAACGUAACGAUCUUCCUGCUGUCUCACGGGCGAUGACUGUGAAAUAAGAAUGCCGGUCCAAAUACCGGUAAAAAUAUCCAAGACGAUAAGACCCUAUGAAGCUUUACUGUAACCAUACAUUGCUACCGAUUUUUUGCUCUAGAGUAAUAGGCGGGAGUUUUCAACAACCCAAAAGUUGCUUGAAAACGCCACUGGAAAACCGCUGUGCAACCAUUAUGUAGCUAAUCUUAUAUGAAAAAGUGUUUGGUGGGCAGUUUAUCUGGGGCGGAUACUGGCUAAAAGGUAACGCCAGCGUGCAAAGGUUAGCUCAACAAAGUCGGAAACUUUGUGUAGAGCGUAAUAGUAUAAGCUAGCCUGACUAUAAGACCUACAAGUCGAAUUUGGGACGAAAGUCUGCUAUAGUGACCCCCAUGUUUUGAGUGGAAAAGCAUGGGAUUAACGGAUCAAAGUUACUCUAGGGAUAACAGCGUUAUUUCGGCCUAUAGUUCAUAUAGAAGCCGACGUUUGCGACCUCGAUGUCGACUUUCGGUGUCCUCGAGCUGUAGAAGGUUUGAAGGGUGCAGCUGUUCUCUGCGUAAAACCGAACAUGAGUUGGGUUUAAUCCGUCGUAAGACAGGAUUGAUUCUAUCUGGAUAUUUCUAACUAUAAGUAUACCAUAACUGCUGGACUGACCUCAUUAGUACGAAAGGAUCUUGAAGGUCCAAGCCUCUGGUUUAGCAAUUGUUUUUUCAAAAUAUUGAAAAAAAAAAGCAAAGUUGCAAAGCUACGCUUGAAAAGCUAAUCGCUGAAACCCUAUAAAGCGAGAAGCUUUCCAUAGAAGUUAUGAAAAAUCGCAGUUUAAUACUGCGUUAAUAGGUUAAGGGUGCAAGGCCUGAGAAGGUUUCAGCCACUUAAUACUAAAUAAACCCCCCGAAUUUGAAA
rnacentral:rRNA from 1 species